GCGGAUAUAGCUCAGUGGUUAGAGCGCCUCGCUGUGGCCGAGGAGGUCGUGGGUUCAAUUCCCAUUAUCCGCCCCA
rnacentral:tRNA from 1 species